rnacentral:lncRNA from 1 species
UUUACUCUGCAGAUUGGUUUUAGAGCACUCAAAUGCAACUUCAUAUGUGUAUGCAUAUAUUAUGCUUUCCACUCACGGGAGAAACCGUUCUCCCACUGUAUGGGUCCCAUAUGCAUAGGAGAUUUCUUGGUGCCAUUUGGAAGUAAUAGCAGGAGCAGUAAACCCCGUUUUGAAGCAUUGUAAUUUUGGGUUUGGUAGGUGUCAUUUAGAUUUGUCGGUGCUAUCUUUGUUCAACCCUAGUAAAAGGAAAAGAACAUGUCAAAGCCAUAGGCAUACAAGAGGAUUUAAUGUAUGCUUUCAAAAAUGUUCUGUCAUGGAAGAAUCUUCAGCCUUGCUUUCUCUGUUGGAAUUGGUGAUAUUCUCUUUGGUUACUACAUUGGAAUUCAGAUGCAAACUACAUGAAUGGAAAGUUUCUGCACGAAGGAAGCGUUGAUGCAUGGAUCCAAAUUCUCUGAACUGUUGGCAUAAAUUUUGUACAAAAGGAAGCUUACUUCCAUGACAAGUUAUCGAGUAAACUUUUUGUUAGUUAGUUAUCUGUAGUUAGCAAUUCGUUUCAUUAGUUAGU